rnacentral:misc_RNA from 1 species
AAGAGUUCUAUAACUCCCAAACCCAUGUGAACAUACCUUACGUUGCCUCGGCAGGUCGCGCCUACCCCGUAGCCUCCUACCCUGUAGGACCUACCCGGUAGACGCGGGUAAGCCUGCCGGCGGCCCAAGAAACUCUGUUUAGUAUUGAAUUCUGAAUCUAUAACUAAAUAAGUUA